UAAUAAGGCUGCUAUAAACGUACUGGAG
rnacentral:piRNA from 1 species